AACGCACAUUGCGCCCAUUAGUAUUCUAGUGGGCAUGCCUGUUCGAGCGUCAUUUCAACCCUUAAGCCUAGCUUAGUGUUGGGAAUCUACUUCUCUUAGGAGUUGUAGUUCCUGAAAUACAACGGCGGAUUUGUAGUAUCCUCUGAGCGUAGUAAUUUUUUUUCUCGCUUUUGUUAGGUGCUAUAACUCCCAGCCGCUAAACCCCCAAUUUUUUGUGGUUGACCUCGGAUCAGGUAGGAAUACCCGCUGAACUUAA
rnacentral:misc_RNA from 1 species